UUGGUGGUGAAUUCUUAGUGCUA
rnacentral:siRNA from 1 species